rnacentral:snRNA from 1 species
GUGCUUGCUUCAGCAGCACAUAUACUAAGACUGGAAGAAUACAGAGAGGAUUAGCAUGGCCUCUCCACAUGGAUGGACACAAGUCUGUAAAGCAAUACAUAGUUUC